AGCGAACGCUGGCGGCAGGCCUAACACAUGCAAGUCGAACGAAGUCUUCGGACCUAGUGGCGGACGGGUGAGUAACACGUGGGAACGUGCCUUUAGGUUCGGAAUAACUCAGGGAAACUUGUGCUAAUACCGAAUGUGCCCUUCGGGGGAAAGAUUUAUCGCCUUUAGAGCGGCCCGCGUCUGAUUAGCUAGUUGGGGAGGUAAAGGCUCACCAAGGCGACGAUCAGUAGCUGGUCUGAGAGGAUGAUCAGCCACAUUGGGACUGAGACACGGCCCAAACUCCGACGGGAGGCAGCAGUGGGGAAUCUUGCGCAAGGGGCGAAAGCCUGACGCAGCCAGGCCGGGUGAAUGAUGAAGGUCUUAGGAUUGUAAAAUUCUUUCACCGGGGACGAUAAUGACGGUACCCGGAGAAGAAGCCCCGGCUAACUUCGUGCCAGCCGCCGCCGUAA
rnacentral:rRNA from 1 species